UACGUAGGGUGCGAGCGUUGUCCGGAAUUAUUGGGCGUAAAGAGCUCGUAGGCGGUUUGUCGCGUCGGCUGUGAAAACCUACAGCUUAACUGUGGGCUUGCAGUCGAUACGGGCAGACUUGAGUUCGGUAGGGGAGACUGGAAUUCCUGGUGUAGCGGUGAAAUGCGCAGAUAUCAGGAGGAACACCGGUGGCGAAGGCGGGUCUCUGGGCCGAUACUGACGCUGAGGAGCGAAAGCGUGGGGAGCGAACAGG
rnacentral:rRNA from 1 species